rnacentral:lncRNA from 10 species
AGAGGGGUUCUGAGGAGGUGGGCAAGGGCAGACACUCUCUCCCGGUCUCAAAUUCGAAAUAGGGACUAGAAGGGAACUUCACGCGAGGCCUCGCAACUGUCGCGAGAAUCAGAACAGGAAAUCUAGGAACCGAGAACACUAAGAGCCCGCGGAUUUUAAACAGGAAAAAGAAAGGGCGGAGCAAACUCUGGCGGAUAGUGCCCCGCGCCUGGUGGCACGUCAAAUUCUCGGUAAAUAUUUGUGGAUUAAAUGUGAAAGACUGCCUGAGUGUUUAACCUGGAUUUUCUGAGUCGCUGAUGGAGAACAGUAGGUAGACGGGGAACCAGCGCCCUCUGGUGGGCUUGUGGUUCGUGACGAGAACAUGCUGGAACCGUGCAUCCAGGUAGGCACAAAGAUAAUAAAAGGGGAUCCGCUGUUAUU